rnacentral:rRNA from 1 species
UAUGAAGGGGGCUAGCGUUGUUCGGAAUUACUGGGCGUAAAGCGCACGUAGGCGGACAUUUAAGUUGGAGGUGAAAGCCUUGGGCUCAACCCAAGAAUUGCCUUUGAUACUGGAUGUCUCGAGACCGGGAGAGGUGAGUGGAAUUCCGAGUGUAGAGGUGAAAUUCGUAGAUAUUCGGAAGAACACCAGUGGCGAAGGCGGCUCACUGGCCCGGUUCUGACGCUGAGGUGCGAAAGCGUGGGGAGCAGACAGG